AGGUGAACCUGCGGAAGGAUCAUUAAAAAUUUAUAUCCGGGAAUUCGUUUCGUUUUCCCGUGAUAAUUUGUAUUCAAAUCCCACUCUUUAUAAAUAUAUUAAUUAUAUAAAACAAAAAUAAAAAAGAAAACUUUCAACAACGGAUCUCUUGGCUCUCG
rnacentral:misc_RNA from 1 species